CCGUCAGCAAUAAGCACCCGAGCAGUUGACACCUGCAAAUAGUAAAAGUGGCUUCUUCACUCAAACCAUUUUUAUAUAGCCGUACAGGUUUCCUAGAACAUUUUUUUUUUAUUACAAUCAAGC